CACGUAGGGUGCGAGCGUUGUCCGGAAUUAUUGGGCGUAAAGAGCUCGUAGGCGGUGUGUCGCGUCGGCCGUGAAAACCUGCAGCUUAACUGUGGGCUUGCGGUCGAUACGGGCAUCACUGGAGUUCGGCAGGGGAGACUGGAAUUCCUGGUGUAGCGGUGAAAUGCGCAGAUAUCAGGAGGAACACCGGUGGCGAAGGCGAGUCCCUGGACAAUUCCUGACACUGAGGCACGAAAGCUAGGGGAGCAAACAGG
rnacentral:rRNA from 1 species